UCUCUCUCUCUCUCUCUCUCUUUGUUAUUUAGGAGUUUGGGUUGUCAUUUCGGUUCCUCUGGAUUAGAGAAACAAUAAGAAAUCCUAACAUUUAGUAUUUUAGUGAUAUAGUAAACAACAAAGAGAGAAACCACUGAGCCAAAGUUGCCGCCUGUGUGCCUAGGGAAGGCCCAAUUAAGAGAGAGAAAAUCAAAGUUCAAGCCUAAACAGAAAAAUAACCCCCCAUGCUCAAAGUGGUAGCAGGUGUGGGGAGUUUCCUCCUCUCUCAAAUCCUCAAGAUCACCAAAUAUGCCAUAGCCAGCAAGCUAAGGAUGGUAGUUUCUAAAGAACUAGUAGAACUUGUUAAAUACAUUUUUCAGAGGGUAAAUACAGUGGCAGAUGAGUUGGCUAACUCGGAACCAGACGCAUCCAGGGAUAGCUCAUAGCUCUAUGAAGCCAUAGUUCGCAGUCCCUUUUUCUCCAUGGAGAAACAUUCCUUAUAGUCUAGUAUAUCUAUUAAAAGAAAGACCAAUAAAUGGCAGAGGCUAGUGAAUUUUAAAAGGUACAACCCCUGAAAAUUCACAGAGACGUUGUCAGUCUUAGAGACUUAAACAAAU
rnacentral:lncRNA from 1 species